UCGACCUCCAUCGCGCUAAUAAUCCCGAAUAAAAACUGAUUAAACAAUGCGAAAAGAGAAGCGCCACCGCUUUGGAAAACGAAACUUGGCAAACAAAUCUCUAUUUGCGUGGCUUACCGCUAGCUUAGCAAGUGGUUAGAUGGAGAAGAGUAGCUAACUGAUCCGAUACUUCAAAAUAUUUAUUUAGACACAUAAAGCAUUUUUCUCUG
ensembl:ncRNA F54E4.13 ncRNA